AUUGAACGCUGGCGGCAGGCCUAACACAUGCAAGUCGAACGGUAACAGAAAGCAGCUUGCUGCUUUGCUGACGGGUGGCGGACGGGUGAGUAAUGUCUGGGAAACUGCCUGAUGGAGGGGGAUAACUACUGGAAACGGUAGCUAAUACCGCAUAACGUCGCAAGACCAAAGAGGGGGACCUUCGGGCCUCUUGCCAUCGGAUGUGCCCAGAUGGGAUUAGCUAGUAGGUGGGGUAAAGGCUCACCUAGGCGACGAUCCCUAGCUGGUCUGAGAGGAUGACCAGCCACACUGGAACUGAGACACGGUCCAGACUCCUACGGGAGGCAGCAGUGGGGAAUAUUGCACAAUGGGCGCAAGCCUGAUGCAGCCAUGCCGCGUGUAUGAAGAAGGCCUUCGGGUUGUAAAGUACUUUCAGCGGGGAGGAAGGGAGUAAAGUUAAUACCUUUGCUCAUUGACGUUACCCGCAGAAGAAGCACCGGCUAACUCCGUG
rnacentral:rRNA from 1 species